GGAAGUAAAAGUCGUACAAGGUUUCCGUAGGUGAACCUGCGGAAGGAUCAUUCAUAAUAAGUGUUUUACGGCACUUUUUUAAAUCCAUAUCCACCUUGUGUGCAAUGUCAGGGUUGGUCUCUUUUGAUCAGCCCCAAACAUCAACUAUUACCUCAACUCUUUGUCUGAAAAAUAUUAUGAAUAAAACAAUUCAAAAUACAACUUUCAACAACGGAUCUCUUGGCUCUC
rnacentral:misc_RNA from 1 species